GAGUGGGAAGGGCUAGCUGCCUGGGACCAAGGUACCUGAAGUAGCCCAGUGCUGGGGAAGUGUAAAGGGAGCUCCAGCCUGGUAAACCCCUAGGCUGCAGGCCUUAGGAAAGGCCCAGAAAGGUACUGGGACUGCAGAGGGGCAGCAUGAGGAUAGGCAAAAGCAGCAGGUCCUAACCCCUUGCCAAUGAUGAGUGGCCUUUACAGACUGCAGUCUGCCCCAGUGACUGGGGGCUAGAUGAUGACUGGCAGUAGCCACUGAGGCAAGGUGGGUUUAGAGGGUUAGGGGUUCCCCCUGGGAGGGGAGACCCAGAGUGUGGUGACACUUCCAGGGGGCAGGACCCCAAGGUAAAGGGGUACUGGGGUUUGAGAGGAACAUGGGGGCCAGUGGCAGGUGAUCCACUGGCCUGCAGAGGGUUCUCUGAAGGCUGAAAAGAACUAAUUCCCAAGAUGACCAGCAGGAGGUGCUGCACUGCAAAAUGCCCAGGUUUGUUGAGCACACUUGCCAGAUCUUCACCAACAAACACCACUACUAGCACUCCUCCCCAAUGCAUGCCUUAUCCGGAAUAAAUGGUUACAUGAAGGGCAAACCAUCCCCCAGAAAGCCAGUCAUUAGAAACCUUUGGUCAAAUGCAGACAGGCAACAGCCACUUCGCACAAGUGCACUUCAGGUGAAGACCCCAGAUUGCUGCUGAUUAGUGUCAGGUUCCCCACACCGAUUACAUCUCUUGCGAGGCAACAUCUCCUUCCAUCAAGGGAGACCAUGAUAGUACAUAUGAGAUGAAGACCAACCUAAUGAAUGUGACCCCCCCCCUCGAGUUAUAUAGUAAUGAUACUUUUAUUCACAAAAGGAAU